UGGGGUGGGAGGAACGUGGGCAGGGAGGAAUGGCACCGCGAUGGGCCUGGGGGAGGCGCGAAGGGGAAAGGGCUGAUAGAUGUGUUUAAAAGCCCUGGGUCUCGGGCUCUGAUGCCGGGAGAAUGAAGCGCAACGGGCGGGCGGCUGCUGUCCUGCGUAGGUCAGAACCCGGCCCGCCGGCCCGAAGACACACACGCCCCCUCAUGUCUCCCUCCUUUCCCUCUUUAACUCGGGGAACGAAAACAGUGGAGCUCCUACUCUUGUUUGAGCUAAGGCUUCUGACUGGAACCUUUCUCUCCGGGAAUUGAAAGCGGGAAGUCCUGAUUUCGGUGCCUGGCUCUCACAAUACUUGGGCAAGUCGUUGCACCUCUGGGUGCUCCUCCCUUGCACGCUCUCCAGAGAGAACCUCCCCAACGUGAUGAGAAGUCGUAGAAGAGAAGACCACAGAGAGACAGAAAGCCAGAGGGAGCAGCCAGAAGCUGAAAGUCAAUGG